GUUUUUACUUUUCGUAAAAUGAAAAUGCAUGCAUAUUCUUACUAGAUAGAAUAUUUGAGAAUUUUAGAAUGCUUAAUAUGUGCAUAUUAUGUAUAAAGUACAUUGGACCUCUAUGUAGUAGAGAACUGUUCAUAUUUGGAACCUUGCAUAUGGUUAGCAUUCUUACAUUUGAUUGAGAUCAUGUUGCAUGUAGUGCAUAUGACAUGUAGGUUACACUCUUGGACUUA
rnacentral:lncRNA from 1 species